rnacentral:misc_RNA from 1 species
AAAGGUCACUCACUCAUCACGAAAUCUCCGAAACUAUAACACCUACAAACUUGAAAUUUGGCAGAUAGGCUCCUUAUAAGACGUAGGCAUCCGCUAAGAAAGGAUUUUACUAAACUCGAGCCCUAAGGGAUAAAACGGGGGUUGGAAGUAUGUAUGAAAGUCCUAUGUUUUUGAAGUAAGAGACUUGAAAUUCAAAAUGUAUG